ACAGGCCAGAAGUGUGAAAUAAGUCUUAUGAAGCUACAAGACAACGUGUCAGAGGGCUGUUUCUUUGGAGGUUCCAGAAUUCCUUAAUUUCUGUCACUACAAGAUGCUUCAUGCCCAUCUUAGAAGUUUCCUGCCCAGUCCUAGAAUCAGCUACUUCUCCAAGGUCCAUCCAUGUCGUCGCAGAUGGCAAGAUUGCAUUCUUUAUUAUGGGUCUAGAGACAACUUCCCUG